rnacentral:lncRNA from 1 species
CGGCACCUGGCGGGGAAAGCCUGGCUAGCUUUGUGCAGUGAAGCAGCAAUGAGGGCGGGGGGAGCCUCUCUGGGCAGCCUGACACGUCCCCAUGUCCCUAUGUGAGGUCCAGGAGUGGUCAAUGGGGCCACGCCAGCCUUAGCUCAGGCCUGGGCCCCAUCCCUGCCUGCAGAACCCGGGCCCCCUCUGGGCCUGACUCCAGCCACAGUGAUGGUGACCCCAGGUUCACUUUCAUGGCACCGUGGGAAGGGGCUCCUAGAGCCGCCCCCUCACAGAGGGGACUGGAGGAGUUGGGUCCACAGUGGGGGAGGUGGAGCCGGACUAGAACCCAGGCCUGGGACUGCUGUGACAGCACCAUGACCUCCCCUGGCCUGGGGGCCUGACCCCAGACGGCAUGGCUCAGUGCUGCCCGUGCUCCAUCUGGGAGUGUGGUUCCAGACCUGUGGCUGGCGACGCAGGCUCAGGGCAGGUCCAUGAGGGGAGUAGGGGGAGCACCCACAGUCCCAGCCAAGGGACCUGUGUCCCCAACUGGCAGAAAUCUCCCUCCAUGGGGGCUGGGUGUGCAUGGAGAUCUUGAUUCCAGACCUCAGGGUGUGUGCGAGCGUGUGUGAGGACGUGUGAGUAUGUGGGCAUGUGAGUGUGUGUGAGAGUGUGAGAGUGUGAGUGCAUGAGUGUGUGAGAGCAUGACUGUGUGAGAGUGUGAGUGUGUGCGGGUGAGAGGAGGUGUGGGCAUGUGUGCAUGUGUGUGUGAGUGUGCACAAGUCUGAGCUGAGUGCUCCUUGGACAGAGCUGUUAGGAGAAGAUUUAUUACCCUCUUUUCACUGAAGAGAAUACGGAGGGUCAGAGAAGUUGCCAUAGUCACCCUGAGAUGAAGCCUUGCUCUGACCCACAGGGGCUGGACAUGAGGGGUUUCACUUUGAGCCCCUCCAGAGCCUAUGAGGUGGUCGCCAGGGUCCACGUGGAGCCACCCACUUCCUCAUCAGGGCCGCUGUUUGGAGGUCCACAGGCACCCGGCUGUGUUUGUGUGUCUUCUCUGUUUAAGAUUCUGAGUUGGUUGGUGUUCACGCCUGGAGGAAAGGACAAGCCCUGGUGAGGCUGCUGCUUGGGCCCCCUCCUGCCCGCCCCAGGCUCCAGAGCAAGGCACCCUUGAGGAACUGGGCCCCCAGCGUGG